GAUGAACGCUAGCGGCAGGCCUAAUACAUGCAAGUCGAACGGUGUCUUCGGACAUAGUGGCGCACGGGUGCGUAACACGUAUGCAACCUACCUUACAUUGGGGGAUAGCCUUUCGAAAGGGAGAUUAAUACCGCAUAAGACAGUAGCUGGGCAUCCAGCAGCUGUUAAAGAUUUAUCGAUGUAAGCUGGGCAUGCGUCCAAUUAGCUAGUUGGUGAGGUACGGCUCACCAAGGCAAUGAUUGGUAGGGGAACUGAGAGGUCAAUCCCCCACACUGGCACUGAGAUACGGGCCAGAAUCCUACGAGAGGCAGCAGUAGGGAAUAUUGGGCAAUGGACGCAAGUCUGACCCAGCCAUGCCGCGUGAAGGAUGAAGGCGUUAUGCGUUGUAAACUGCUUUUAUACAGGAAGAAACGACUCUUGCGAGAGGCAUUGACGGUACUGUAUGAAUAAGCACCGGCUAACUCCGUGCCAGCCGCCGCCGUAACAC
rnacentral:rRNA from 1 species